GACGAACGCUGGCGGCGUGCCUAACACAUGCAAGUCGAACGGGGUACCUUCGGGUACUUAGUGGCGAACGGGUGAGUAACGCGUGAGGAACCUGCCUUUCAGUGGGGGACAACAGUUGGAAACGACUGCUAAUACCGCAUAAUGUUAUUCGGAGGCAUCUCUGAAUAACCAAAGAUUUAUUGCUGAAAGAUGGUCUCGCGUCUGAUUAGCUAGUUGGUGAGGUAACGGCUCACCAAGGCAACGAUCAGUAGCCGGUCUGAGAGGAUGAACGGCCACAUUGGGACUGAGAUACGGCCCAG
rnacentral:rRNA from 1 species